UUCAAAUUAAUAGAUAAACAAGUAAACAAGGAUAACAUUGAUAUAAAUUCGUGAAUAGAUUAUACAUAACGCAAUGAUUAAUAAAAAUACAUACUAUAAAAAUGAACUUACAUCCAAUCCCAACAAGAAAGGGAUUUAGCUACACAUAGUAGCUAGAUACAAAGAAAAAAAUGAAGAAGAACAAACAUCAACCGCGACUUUCCAACGAUAGAAACAAAUCCAACUCCGGAUCUUCAAAAAACACCCUAACUUAUUAUUUU
rnacentral:lncRNA from 1 species